GUAGAUUCUUCUUCUCCAAGAAGAAUCUUAGUCUUAGAACUUAGAUCAACUCUUUGAUCUAGACUGCGGGAUUAACUCCUAAGCCUACAGCCUUCUUCUUCUUCUCCUCGUUCUUCGCUGUAGAUGGAUAGCACCUCUACUAUUGGCAUGUGAAAAUAUGGGACGCCCAAUCCUUGGGUGUGGAAGAGAAGAGAGGGAGGAGAGGAGGCAUGGAGAAGGGAG
rnacentral:lncRNA from 1 species